rnacentral:rRNA from 1 species
UCUACGGGUGGCUGCAGUGGGGAAUAUUGCGCAAUGGGCGAAAGCCUGACGCAGCGACGCCGCGUGAGGGAUGAAGGUUCUCGGAUCGUAAACCUCUGUCAGAAGGGAAGAAAUUAUAUCAUGCUAAUCAGUGGUGUAUUGACGGUACCUUCAAAGGAAGCAUCGGCUAACUCCGUGCCAGCAGCCGCGGUAAUACGGAGGAUGCGAGCGUUAUCCGGAUUUAUUGGGUUUAAAGGGUGCGCAGGCGGAAGAUCAAGUCAGCGGUAAAAUUGAGAGGCUCAACCUCUUCGAGCCGUUGAAACUGGUUUUCUUGAGUGAGUGAGAAGUAUGCGGAAUGCGUGGUGUAGCGGUGAAAUGCAUAGAUAUCACGCAGAACUCCGAUUGCGAAGGCAGCAUACCUGCGCUCAACUGACGCUCAUGCACGAAAGUGUGGGUAUCGAACAGGAUUAGAUACCCUUGUAGUC